AGCAAAGUCAGCUAAGUAAGCUUUUGGGUUCAUACCCCAACAAUAUUGGUUAAAGUCCUUUCCUUGCUA
rnacentral:tRNA from 1 species